GAUGAGAUCCAAGAUGAGCAGCCCCCGCCGUCGCCCCCUCUCGCCGGCGCCGCUGGACGACGACGACCUCCUCUCCGAGAUCCUCCUCCGCCUCCCCCCGCUGCCCUCCUCCUUCCCCCGCGCCUCCGCCGUCUGCAGGCGCUGGCGCCGCCUCGCCUCCGACCCCCGCUUCUGCCGCCGCUUCCGCGGCACCACCGCCGCCGCAACCCUCCCCUCCUCGGCUGCUUCGUCGAAGAUAUUGACUCCACCCACUUCCAACCUAUCCUGGAGGCCCCCAACCGCGUCCCGCAGGCCCGCUUCGCCUUCCCGAUCCGCGCCGGGGACCCCCCCGGAUGCCGCCAUGGCCUCGUGCUCUUCCUCCGUAGUAAGUACCAGCUUCUUGUGUGGGACCCCAUCACCGGCGACCAGCACCGCCUUGACGUCCCCCAAGGUUUGACGAGGACGACUCGGUCGGCGGGGCGGUGCUUCGUGCUGCUGCCGGCCACUUCCAGGUUGUCUUUUCGUAGGUAACAGCGAGGUAGAGCCUACACGAGCGGUUGCCUCCGUUUACUCGUCGGCGACCGGCGAAUGGGGUGACCUCGUCUCCACACCGCUUCCGCCCAAUGCUCCUAUGAGCUAUCGUUCCACCUCCAUUUGUAUGAACUAUCCUUGUGUGCUCAUCGAGGGUUCCUGUUACUGGUCGCUCGCUCAUGGUCCUGCCAUCCUUGCGUUUGAUCUGGAUAGCCAGAGCCUGAAUGUGAUACAUCUUCCAUUAGACGUCCGUGACCUGGCCCAUUACGACUUCUCGGUUGUGCGGAUGGAGGGUGGUCGGCUUGGUUUCUUCGUUGUGCCAGGCUUUAGCGCCCAAUUGUGGAAGUGGAACAGCGAUUGCGAUGGUGCGGCUUCAUGGGUGCUGGAAAGAAGUAUUGAAUUGGACAAGCUGCUUUCCCUGAAUCCAGACGACGAGAGAGAGCGCCCAAUUGUCGCAGGGUUCGCUGAGGACAAUAAUGUGGUGUUACUGUGGGCAUUCGUUGGUGUCCUCACGCUCCAGCUCAAAUCAUUGCACUCCAAGAAACUUUUUAGAGUUAAAUGCUGGUUUUGCUGUCUUCCAUUUGAAGGGGUCUAUACUGCAGAUGCGGAUAUUGGUGCUGGGCGCGAUGGAGCCAAACUUUUGCACAAUACAUAAUAUGAGUUGCCCAGUACUAUCAUAAUGAGUUGAUUGGGCAGGUAUCGGAGGGUCAGGUUUACGUUGGCUGCGAUGCAGAUGUGGAUUAAUUGCUGUAGGUUCUCCUUCCAUUCUGUAUGCUGUGCAUGGGGCUUAUGAUGCGCUUCACAGGGGAAUUAACAUGUCCUGGUCAACCAUAACUUGAAACAAUUAGUCUUGUAAGCUGUGAGCUGCCGCCUGAUUUCCGCAGGCAAUAUCCGAACUGCCGCGAAGGGAAGUUAACUUUGCUUUGGUUAGCGCAUCAGCUAGAACCGGCCCUGUCCGCUGAAUUUUCUGCGCAUACUAUUUUCUGUGUUGUGCAUUUUCCCCCAGCAUGGUUUGCCAGUGUCCUAUGACGUUUUGUUCUCUUAUGUGUUAUCGAAUUUGUAUUCCAAAGAGAUGGCAUUGCUCCCAGGAUGCUUCUAUGGGUUGAAUUAAUUUGCUUAUUCAUUAACAAUGCUGCUACUGGGACAGGCAGUUUUUCUUC